UACGGAGGGGGCUAGCGUUGUUCGGAAUUACUGGGCGUAAAGCGCGCGUAGGCGGACCUGCAAGUCGGGGGUGAAAGCCCGAGGCUCAACCUCGGAACUGCCUUCGAUACUGCGGGUCUCGAGUCCGGGAGAGGUGAGUGGAAUUCCUAGUGUAGAGGUGAAAUUCGUAGAUAUUAGGAAGAACACCAGUGGCGAAGGCGGUGCUCUGGGCCGGAACUGACGCUGAUGAGCGAAAGCGUGGGGAGCAAACAGG
rnacentral:rRNA from 1 species